AGUGCUAAGUGUUGGGGGUCGAACCUCAGUGCUGAAGUUAACGCAUUAAGCACUCCGCCUGGGGAGUACGGUCGCAAGACUGAAACUCAAAGGAAUUGACGGGGACCCGCACAAGCGGUGGAGCAUGCGGUUUAAUUCGAAGCAACGCGAAGAACCUUACCAGGUCUUGACAUACCAUUGAUGUCUCUAGAGAUAGAGAGUUUCCUUCGGGGACAAUGGAUACAGGUGGUGCAUGGUUGUCGUCAGCUCGUGUCGUGAGAUGUUGGGUUAAGUCCUGCAACGAGCGCAACCCCUGUCGUUAGUUGCCAGCAGUGAGAUGGGGACUCUAACGAGACUGCCAGUGACAAACUGGAGGAAGGUGGGGAUGACGUCAAAUCAUCAUGCCCCUUAUGACCUGGGCUGCACACGUGCUACAAUGGUUGGUACAAAGAGAAGCGAAGCGGUGACGUGGAGCAAACCUCAGAAAGCCAAUCUCAGUUCGGAUUGUAGGCUGCAACUCGCCUACAUGAAGUUGGAAUCGCUAGUAAUCGCGAAUCAGAAUGUCGCGGUGAAUACGUUCCCGGGUCUUGUACUCACCGCCCGUC
rnacentral:rRNA from 1 species